ACCGGGUACUGCACGGAGCCGUCGCGCAGCCAGCCCGCAUUGCACCAGUCCAGGCCAUCGCGCCAGGCCGCGUGCAGCUGCUCAGCCGACGCCAGAAUGCCGUCCUGCUCAGCGCACGCUCGCUGCGCUUCGGUGAAGCCUAGACCUUCCAGACCAUCCCUUGCUCUGGCUCCAGACCUGACCAUGCCUUUUCCCAGCUCGCACCCCUCAAGACUCCCUUCGCCCUCCCACACAGAACAGUGUAUCACAGAGAAGGGACAUAGUGGAUCUCUGGCAACUUGCUGCACUGAUGGGCAGUGACUGCAUUGGGGUAUGGGUGGGGACUUGAUAAUAUGGGUAAAUGUAGUAACCACAUUGUUUUUUCAUGUGAAACCUUCAUAAGAGUGUAUAUCAAUCAUACCUUAAUAAAAAAUUUUUAAAAAUUAAAAAAAUAAAA